UAAGGUGAUUAUAGUACGAGGGUUCCACCUCUUCCCAUUCCGAACAGAGAAGUUAAACCUUGUCACGCCGAUGUUACUGCGUAAUAGUGGGAGAGUAGGUAGUCGCCAGCU
rnacentral:rRNA from 1 species